UUUCCAAAAAUAAGCCUGGGUAGUUUUGUUAAGCUAGAGUUCCGCGUGGGCCUGAAAGGGACACGUGUUACAGACACAAACAGUUAUAGCAGUAGUUAUGGUAACGCUAACAGUCAGUUGUUGCUGUUGGACAUCACAACAAAUAUCAUGAAGAAUAAAAAGUUCAAUAACUUGUUCCAAUCUUUAUGGGACAAACAGAAAUUGAAAGGUAGAAAAUCAAGGAACAAUAAAAGCGUAAGCUUUUCUAGUGGGAUACUUCUGCUGUUGAUAGUUUGGACAACAGCAGGGUUACGGAGCGGCCUCUCAGCGGCCAAUAUAUCAUAAUAGAACGGACUUUUGGCAAUGUUACUGACAAAGAAAGGCAAUAAUGACUUGGUUGUGAAUACCCAGAGCACAAUACAUCCAUGCUGACAAAGAAAGGCGGUAAUGACUUGAUUGUGAAAACCCAGAGCUUGAUACAUCCAUGCUGACAUAGAAAGGCAGUAAUGACUUGGUUGUAAACACCCAGGGCACAAUACAUCCGUGCUGACAGAGAAAGGCAGUAAUGACUUGGUUGUGAAAACCCAGAGCACAAUACAUCCGUGCUGACAGAGAAAGGCAGUAAUGACUUGGUUGUGAACACCCAGAGCACAAUACAUCCAUACUGACACAGAGAGGAAGUAAUGCCUUGGUUGUGAAGACCCAGAGCACGAUGCAUCGAUGCUGACACAGAAAGGAAGUAAUGACUUGGUUGUGAACACCCAGAGCAAGAUAUAUCCAUGCUGACACAGAAAGGCAGUAAUGACUAUGCUGUGAACACCCAGAGCAAGAUAUAUUCAUGCUGACACAGAAAGGCAGUAUGACUAUGCUGUGAACACCCAGAGCACAAUACAUCCAUGCUGACACAGGAAGACAGUUAUGACUUGGUUGUGAACACCCAGAGCAAGAUAUAUACAUGCUGACACAGAAAGGAAGUAAUGACUAUGCUGUGAACGCUUAGAGCAAGAUAUAUCCAUGCUGACACAGAAAGGCAGUAAUGACUAUGCUGUGAACACCCAGAGCACAAUGCAUCCAUGCUGACACAGAAAGGCAGUGAUGACUUGGCUGUGAACACAGAACACGAUACACCCAUGCUGACACAGAAAGGCAGUAAUGACUUGGCUGUGAACACAGAGCACAAUACAUCCAUGCUUAAACAGAAAGACAGUCAUGACUAUGCUGUGAACACACAGAGCAUGAUAUAUCCAUGCUGACACAGAAAGGCAGUAAUGACUAUGCAGGGAACAGUCAGAGCAAGAUAUAUCCAUGCUGACACAGAAAGGCAGUAAUAACUAUGCAGUGAACACCCAGAGCAAGAUAUAUCCAGGCUGACACAGAAAGGCAGUAUGACUAUGCUGUGAACAUCCAGAGCACAAUACAUCCAUGCUGACACAGAAAGGCAGUUAUGACUUGGUUGUGAACACCCAGAGCACAAUACAUCCAUGCUGACAAAGAAAGGCAGUAAUGACUUGGCUGUGAACACAGAACACGAUACACCCAUGCUGACACAGAAAGGCAGUUAUGACUUGGCUGUGAACAAAGAGCACAAUACAUCCAUGCUGAAACAGAAACGCAGUCAUGACUAUGCUGUAAACACCCAGAGCACGAUAUAUCCAUGCUGAUACAGAAAGGCAGUAAUGACUAUGCUGUGAACACCCAGAGCACAAUACAUCCAUGCUGACACAGAAAGGCAGUAAUGAAUAUGCUGUGAACACCCAGAGCACAAUACAUCCGUGCUGACACAGAAAGGCAGUAAUGACUUGGUUGUUAACACCCAGAGCAAGAAAUAUCCAUGCUGACACAGAAAGGCAGUAAUGACUUGGCUGUGAACACAGAACACGAUACACCCAUGCUGACACAGAAAGGCAGUAAUGACUUGGCUGUGAACACAGGACAGGAUACACCCAUGCUGGCACAGAAAGGCAGUAAUGACUUUGCUGUGAACACAUAGCACAAUACAUUCAUGCUGACACAGAAAGGCAGUAAUGACUUGGCUGUGAACACAGAGCACCAUACAUACAUGCUGACACAGAAAGGCAGUAAUGUGUGAAUCCAGACAACAUGUCAAUGAACAAGGCACCUUUCUCUGAAAACCUUGCCGAGCUAAUGAACAGUGCAACUGCGCCAUAUGUGACCCUUCAGAGAAUGGAUUUCCUAGCCAAAUAUCUAAUCGGUGCCAAUCUGGGCUCCAGCAGCAACCUCAGCCAUGGGGGACAGGUUUAUGAAGCACCCUGAACUUCUCAAUCUCACAGCAACAGUAGAUCAACAUGACCUGAAAGCGGUUCGUGUUCAGUGUCUAACAGUAGUCUAAUGACCAAGCCACGUCAGCAAAGCAGCAAUAACAGCAGUCAAGAAAGGUGUCUUCAACAUUUAAGAGUACUAAGGGCCGCAGUCUUUUGCUCAAUACGGAUUGUUUAAAAAAAUACUUAUGUAGUUAUUGAAAAUAUUUGUUGAUUUCCGUGUAAGAUGGAAAUGUUUUUUAGCACAAUACAUCAACACCACAAAUGCAUAUAAAUGAUAACUAAUAGAAUUAUUAAUGCCAAAAAUCAAAACAUAAAUUUCUUUAUAUUUUUAUUCAAAAAAUGUAUGAAGAACUUAUUAACUUAGUUUCAAAAUAUAUCUGAACAAUAUGUGUUUCAAAAUAUGUCUAAACAUAUUGAUGUUUUAGACUUCGCUUUGAUUUAUUUUCCCUAUGAUUUCUCUACUCCUAAACAGGUCGAGGAUCACCCAAAAGCACUUGGUGCCUAGCGAUGAUUUUUCUGCUACCAACUUGACCUGGUUAUUGUACUCACGUGGGAGUCAGGUUUAAGGUCACAUAAGUUAACAACAUGACUGCACAAUAUGGCAUCAAUGGCACAGAAGAAGUGAUCAGAGGGGGUUAUAACGUGCAAGUCAAGAAGGCGACGUCCAUCACGAGACUGAAAACCCUGAUUGCAAUAUGCAGAGUCUGCUCCAGAAGCAUUUGCAGACACAGCACAUGAACCCGCUGCAGUCAUCGUCUUCAGAUUAUAUCAUCUCUAUGGUGCAGGACCCUCAGUCUGUGUACACAGGGAACCUUUGACGCCAAUGACGAAAUCAAACCAUCCAAUCAGAAACACAUCCUGUUGCAGCAGUUAUUACCAUAUUGACCCCAGUCAAACAAAAGAAGCUCAGAGAUAAAUACUGUUUAUGGUGUUCUAGUCUCUACAUACCUUGUGGUAUGUUGAGCACGUACUCUGACAGGUUUCAUCUUAUAAUUGUUUGACUGGUGGAAAAUAAAUGACCUUGUUCAAGUCGAAAUGUCAGAAUUACAAUUCAUAAUUCAAAUGCCAAAAAGUCAUAUCAACAGCCACAUUUGUUAUGUGACCAGCAAAGUUGUAUUCAAAGAGACACAAUAGUUAACUUUAUAUUUUCUUGUGACCAACCAAGUUGUAUUUAAUGAAAAACAAUAGUUCAUGUUUUUAUGGGAAUUAUGAUGCUGUCAGUCAUGUUAUGUUGGACGUUUUAGUUAAAUAUAGUAUGUUACAAAAUGUAUUAUUUGAAGCACACAUAUUGCAGGUAUAUCCAAUGUCUGUGUUUGUAUUAUGAACCUUUCACUUCAGAUUUUGAUCCGGAUAUGGUAAAUUUAAGGGAAAUACAAUCAUAACAAAGUUAUUCUAAGAUUGUCAAAGCUGUUUAAAAGUUUAUGGUAACUUGGACACAAUUGAAAAUAUAUUGGCGUAUUGUCCAUGUUUCAGUUUUCUGUUUUACCAGUAAUAUAGAUGUGCUCAUUAAAAUAAUUCUCCAAAGAGGUUGAGAGUUAUGACACUUCAGCUUUUCUGUAUAUCAAUCUUUCUGAACACAAUACUUGUCAAUUUGCUCAUUCGGGUCGGUAUUUGAUCCAAAAUCUUGUUAAGUAGCAUACUAUUUCAAGGGAAUAUAAAUUAUUUCUGGGAAAAAGUGUUUAAUCUACUUAAAUUAUUGAUUCUUUGUUUAGCACCAGUACUUUGUUGAUUUCAAUUGCUAUGGUUUGCUAAAUUAUUAAAGCAUGACUGUUGUUUUAUUUGGAAAGCUUUUAAUAAAACUCAGAAUUAAAAACAAUAUUUAAAAAAAGAUGAGUUUCAUGAAAAAUGGCACAUUUUAUGUUUGUUAAUUUGUGUAGUAAGAUCAUAGACUUACAUGCUCAUAAGUGUUAACAUUCGAUUUUGAAUGUUAAAGUUUAUAAUGCUUUUUAUAUGCAUAUGUAGAUUUACACAACCAGAUUGUACCUUCUUAAAUCAGUGAGUAAUUUAACCCAGAUUUCUUGAUAAUUGUUUAUAGGAAUAUUUUGCCAUUUAUACAUAGAGCAACUGCAAAGCGAUUGUAUUUUCGAUGUAAAUCAUACAUUUAGUGUUGCCAUUGUUUAAGAUAAACUCACUGUUUACAUUUAUUUGUACACACCAUUGUUAUAAAACAACAUUGCUUGUGUAAAUGCACAUAUAUGUAUAAAAACUGUUUAAUAAUGCAGCAUUAAAUAUUCUGAAGAGAAAAGGAUAUUUACGGCAAUAGAAACACCUUGUUAUAUGCUAUGCUUUUCAUCGAAUAAAUUUGAGCAACUAUUAAAAUGAAUUUAUUUCUUCUUUAAUUUUUACUAAAUACAACGAUAGUACCUUGAAAUUAGAAAUGAGUCAAUUACAAAAUAAGGGAGAGUGAUGUCAUAUGUUUACAAUUGUCAGGCAUAGCAAUUGCCUCUAUGGGUAAUAUAACAGAGCAAUAUUAUUUGCUUAAACAAUACAAAUUAAGAUGUCUUUUUUGUUAGAUAAUAAUUGUGUUUACAACUUGAUAUAACGAGUAAAUACAAACAGAAUUUCAAAUUAUUUCGCACUAUAUACUCUGCAAUAAGUGAAAGUCUAAAAGGAUUUUGUGGAAUAAACAAUUUGCAAAUUAUUUGCUUGUUUCAUGAAGUAAUAGUUAAGGUAAAAUGUGGUACUUAUUGUUACACAAACACAAUGUGUAAUAACAAAAUGCAUCAGUAAUGACAUUUAUUAAAAUUCCUUAAAUUUGCAUGACUACUCAGUGCUUUGAGUUUUGUAAUUUUGAUGAUUAUAAGUGAAUAUUCUGCAAAAAAUACCUCUAUACGAAAUGUGUAUAUUUCAAUAAUAAUGGUAUACUUGUAUGCAAAGUACUUGAAUAGUUUUGAUGUAUUGCUGAUAAAGAAUUGUGUAAUUGUACUAGUCUUAUUCCAGUUUGUGUAACGUUGACCGUUCAACAUAAGCUGUCAGUGGAGUGAAUUCACUGGGGCCAGUUUCUGUAAAUCUUCCAAUUUAAAACUGCAGCAUACACGUAUGUCUUAAAUCCAGAUUUACAUAACAGUGUGGUUGUUUAUCUUGAAUUUGUAUUGAAUGCAUAAAACAUGUUUGUUCUGUUGUUGAACAACUGAAGAUAGCUUUAAUUGUGUACAUUGUGUUUCAUUUUUAGAUAUAUCAAAUUGAUACAUAGAAAACAAAAUACAAAAUGUGCAAUAAUUGGUAUGCAUGUUUAGCCCAAAAAAUGUUAUCAUACAAGCAUAUUAGUAUUGGACUAUAUGAUACUGUAAGAUGAAAUGUUUAAAUCACGUCUUGAUUUGUUCAUCUACUUUAAGUUAACAUUUUUUAUUAGUAGAUAUUGGUUGUAUAAACUCUAUUGAAACUGCCCCCAAUGAAUUUUAAUUGCUUUUGUAAAUAUAUUCAAUAUGUAACAUUAUUGUUAAUGGUAUGUUUAUAGUUAAAGUGUAAAUGUUUCUCUAAACUGUAACCGGGUGUCUGUUUAAUUUAUUGAGAUGUGUUUAUAUUGUCCGGCUUAUUAAAUUAAAUAUUGUGCAAAUUGUC